ensembl:lncRNA
AACAGAUAUUUGCAUGUCAUGUUUAUAGCACUAUUUGCAAUCGAUAAAAUGAGGAAGCCAACCAAGUGUCCACUGACAGAUGACUUCAGGAACAAAAUGUGAUCUUUGUGAACCAGGGCAUCUCUCAGAGCCUUGAAAAGGAAGUCCUGUCACUUGCCACCUUGCAGACGAGCCCUGAAGACAUGUGCAGUGAAACAGGCCAUCCACGAAGAACACACACAGGAUGGCUCUGCCCAUCUGAGCCACCUAGCAGUCAGGCAGCAAGUUUCCACCCAACCACCCGAUUGCAUGAGACAAAGAGGUACUCCAAGGACGGAAAACGACGACCCACAGAAAAACACUCCAAAAUGUUCACUUUAAUCAUUUCCAGGAAGCCGCUGGUAACAGAUGAGGGCUGAUCCACCGGCCCUGGCCUGUGUUUGUGCAGAGUAGACAAAGACGGGUGCCGAGUGUGUGGACACACAGACAUCAAGGCUAUGACAUCAACUCCUCACGGAUCAGAGCAUGAAAAGUUACCCUCUAGAGACAAAUGGCCUGCAGACUUGUUUGGACAUCAAGGAGACCCCGCUGGAGGUAUUAACAGAUCUCAAGAAAAUACAUGUCCUUCAGAUGCCAAGAGUUGGUGAGCAAGGUGUCAGUGGAACAAAGCGUGGGGCCCACAGAGCAGAGCCGGGGAGACAGUGGCCUGCCCUUGUCGGGCCCACCUGGCAGAUGGUUCCCUGUGGGUGCAAUGGCCUCACAGCCCGGGGCCUUAUCUCUCCCACUGGUCCCAGCUCACUUGGCCAAAGCUGAGUCCACUCAGCACUCAAGGAGACUUCCUGCAGGCCAGCAGGUGAAGGCCAUCCAGCCAACAGUCCAUUUCUCAUGGGGAGAGUGAGCUGACCAGUUCUGUCACCUCACCGGAGACGGAGAUUUGGGGCAGCCAGCGGAGAGCCAGGCGGUGGCCCAGGGGGUGCUCCCUGAGGAAACCACCCGAUCACCACGCGGGCAGCUGCUCACCUUCUUCACACUCUCGUAAGAAAUGUCCACUGUGUAAUGAGCCCUUACUCUGUACCAGGCCCUGAGCUGUAGGAUCAAUAGCUGUGACCAGAUUUCAUCCACACAGCCUGCUUACAGACAUGGAUGGCACAGAAGAUUGAGGACCCACAGCUCAAGACCCAAGGUCAAGAUCUGAACCCAAGCCCGCUUGACUCCAGGGCAAAUCCCCCCAGUGGGGCCCCAGAUGCUCUGCACAGCAUCACCUGGGAUUCCUGCUUUAAAAAGCAGAGCCCAGGAACCCACCCAAGGCUUACUGAGCAGGAUUAUCUGGAGGUGGGUCCCAGGGAUCUGUGCUUCUUUUCCAAUAUUUUCUAUGGUGGUAAAAUACACAAAACAAAAUUUGCUAUCUUAGCUAUGCUAAGCAUAUCCUGAAGUACUCGGUGCUAUUAAGUGUACUCAGGUUGCUGUGUAACCAUCACCAGCAACCAUCUCCAGGACUCUUAUCCAUGAAACUACAACUCCCAUUCCCCUCCCCUCAGCCCUGGCAACCAGCAACCACCACUUCCUGUCUCUGUGAGUACUGCAGGGACCUCGUGCAAGUGGAAUCAAACAGCAUUGUGCAGGCGUGUGUGUGUGUCUGCACGCGUGUGCACAUGUGGGUGUUUGGCUUAUUUCAUUUACCAUAAUGUCUUCAAGGUUCAUCUGUGCUGUGGGAAAUAUCAGAAUAUCCGCCCCUUUUAAGAUGAACAGUAUGCGUUACAAUUACACACCGCUUCUCCUUACUCGUUCAUCCAUCCCUGGACACCUGAUUGUCUGCAUGUGUGAGCUGUGAGAAGAAUGCCACUAUGUACGUGUGUACACAGAAACACCCGCAAGACUCAGUCCUCGGUUUUUUACAUGUAUAUCCAGGAAUGAAAUUGCUGGAUCACGUGGUGAUCCUAUUUUCAAUUUUUCAAGGAAUUGUCAUGCUAUUUUCCAUAGUGACUAUACCAUUUUACAUUCCCACUAAGAGCACACAAGAAUUCCAAUUUCUCCACCUUCUUGUCAACAUGUUCUUUUCCAUUUUUGUUUUGUUUUGUUUUUGUUGUUGUUUUUGUUUUUGGUACCAGGGAUCGAACUUGGGUCCUAGCGCUUGCAGGGCAGGCAGCAGAACCACUGAACUAAAUCCCCUGCCCAUUUUCCAUUUUUUAAAUAGUACUCAGCCUAAUAGGUGUGUGGUGGCAUCUCAUUAUGGUUUUGGUUUGCAUUUCCCUAAUGAUUAGUGAUGUUGAAAUCUUUUCAUGUAGUUCUUGGCCAUUUAUUUGUGUAUCUUCUUUGGAAAAAUAUCUACUCAAGUUCUUGGUCCAUUUUACAAUCAGGUUGUUUUGCUGUUUCAGCUUUUGCAGUUCUCUGUAUGUUCUAGAUAUAAAUCCCUUAUCAGACACAUGAUUUUUGAGUAGUUUCUUUCAUUCCCUGGGUUGCUUUUUAAUUCUGUCGAUAUUGCUUUGAUUGUUUGUCUUUGUUUUGCUUCCAGAACAAGGUCUCACUAUGUUCCCCAAGUAAUCUCAAACUCACAGGCUUAAAUAAUCCUCUCGCUUCAACCUCCCAAGCAGUUAGGAAAUAUAGGCAUUUUGAUACUAUCUUUUAAUGCAUUUCAAAUUUUUUCAUAAAGUUCAGUUUUUUGUUUUCUUUUGUUGCCCGUGCCUUUGGUGUUGUAUCCAAGAAACUAUUGCUAAAUCCAGUGUCAAGAAGCUUUUCCCCUGUUUUCUUCUAAGAGUUUUAUAGUUUAGGUCUUACAUUUAGGUCAUGGAUUCGUUUCGAACUCGUGUUUGUAUAUGGUGUUAGGAAUGGGUCUAACUUCAUUCUUUUGCAUGUGGGUAUCCAGUUGUCCCAGCACUAUUUGUUGAAAGUCCUUCUCUCACUGAAAGUCUUGGCACCCUAUAGAUGACCAUAUAUAUAAGGAUUUGUCUCUGGGUUCUCUGUCUAGGCCAUUGGUCUAUAUUCCUGUUUUUAUGCUGAUAGUACAUAAAGAUUGUAGUAUUAAAAUCAGGAAGUAUACUUGGGAGACUGAGGCAGGAGGAUUGCUGCGAGUUUGGGGCCAGCCUGAGCUACAUCGUGAGUUCAAGACCAGC